GACGAACGCUGGCGGCGCGCUUAACACAUGCAGGUCGAACGGAAAGGCCUGCUUUCCCUUGUGGAUUGCGGGUACUCGAGUGGCGAACGGGUGAGUAACACGUGAGUGAUCUGCCCCCAACUUGGGUAUAAGCCUGGGAAACUGGGUCUAAUUCCCGAUAGGACUGCAGGGUGGUGCCUGUGGUGGAAAACGAUUUUCUAGUGGUUGGGGAUGAGCUCGCGGCCUAUCGGCUUGUUGGUGGGGUAAUGGCCUACCAAGGCGGCGACGGGUAGCCGGCCUGAGAGGGUGGACGGCCACAUUGGGACUGAGAUACGGCCCAGACUCCUACGGGAGGCAGCAGUGGGGAAUAUUGCACAAUGGGCGGAAGCCUGAUGCAGCGACGCCGCGUGGGGGAUGACGGCCUUCGGGUUGUAAACUCCUUUCGACCGCGAGGAAGCCACCUGGUUGGAAGGGUGGUGACGGUAGUGGUAGAAGAAGCACCGGCUAACUACGUG
rnacentral:rRNA from 1 species